rnacentral:rRNA from 1 species
AUUGAACGCUGGCGGCAUGCCUUACACAUGCAAGUCGAACGGCAGCGGGGGAGAAGCUUGCUUUUCCUGCCGGCGAGUGGCGAACGGGUGAGUAAUACAUCGGAACGUGCCCUGUAGUGGGGGAUAACUAGUCGAAAGAUUAGCUAAUACCGCAUACGACCUGAGGGUGAAAGUGGGGGACCGCAAGGCCUCAUGCUAUAGGAGCGGCCGAUGUCUGAUUAGCUAGUUGGCGGGGUAAAGGCCUACCAAGGCGACGAUCAGUAGCUGGUCUGAGAGGACGAUCAGCCACACUGGGACUGAGACACGGCCCAGACUCCUACGGGAGGCAGCAGUGGGGAAUUUUGGACAAUGGGCGAAAGCCUGAUCCAGCAAUGCCGCGUGUGUGAAGAAGGCCUUCGGGUUGUAAAGCACUUUUGUCCGGAAAGAAAUGGCUCUGGUUAAUACCUGGGGUCGAUGACGGUACCGGAAGAAUAAGGACCGGCUAACUACGUGCCAGCAGCCGCCGUAAAAC